UACGUAGGGUCCGAGCGUUGUCCGGAAUUAUUGGGCGUAAAGGGCUCGUAGGCGGUUCGUCACGUCGGGAGUGAAAAACUCGGGGGCUUAACCCCCGAGCCUGCUUCCGAUACGGGCAGACUAGAGGUAGGCAGGGGGAGAGCGGAACUCCUGGUGUAGCGGUGGAAUGCGCAGAUAUCAGGAAGAACACCGGUGGCGAAGGCGGCUCU
rnacentral:rRNA from 1 species